AUUGAACGCUGGCGGCAUGCCUUACACAUGCAAGUCGAACGGCAGCACGGGAGCAAUCCUGGUGGCGAGUGGCGAACGGGUGAGUAAUGUAUCGGAACGUACCUUUCAGUGGGGGAUAACGUAGCGAAAGUUACGCUAAUACCGCAUAUUCUGUGAGCAGGAAAGCAGGGGAUCGCAAGACCUUGCGCUGAUUGAGCGGCCGAUAUCAGAUUAGCUAGUUGGUGAGGUAAAGGCUCACCAAGGCGACGAUCUGUAGCGGGUCUGAGAGGAUGAUCCGCCACACUGGGACUGAGACACGGCCCAGACUCCUACGGGAGGCAGCAGUGGGGAAUUUUGGACAAUGGGCGCAAGCCUGAUCCAGCCAUGCCGCGUGAGUGAAGAAGGC
rnacentral:rRNA from 1 species